CCUACGGGGGGCAGCAGUGAGGAAUAUUGGUCAAUGGGAGAGAUCCUGAACCAGCCAAGCCGCGUGAGGGAAGACGGCCCUAUGGGUUGUAAACCUCUUUUGUCGGAGAACAAAACCCGGGACGUGUCCCGGACUGCGUGUAUCCGAAGAAAAAGCAUCGGCUAACUCCGUGCCAGCAGCCGCGGUAAUCCGGAGGAUGCGAGCGUUAUCCGGAUUUAUUGGGUUUAAAGGGUGCGUAGGCGGUCCGUUAAGUCAGCGGGAAAAUUGCGGGGCUCAACCCCGUCGAGCCGUUGAAACUGGCAGACUUGAGUUGGCGAGAGGUACGCGGAAUGCGUGGUGUAGCGGUGAAAUGCAUAGAUAUCGGGAAGAACUCCGAUUGCGAAGGCAGCGUACUGGCGCCAGACUGACGCUGAGGCACGAAAGCGUGGGGAUCGAACAGGAUUAGAUACCCUAGUAGUC
rnacentral:rRNA from 1 species